GCCCUUAUAGCUCAGUGGUAGAGCGCGUCACUAGUAAUGACGAGGUCGUAGGUUCGACUCCUACUGAGGGCA